rnacentral:snoRNA from 1 species
AAUGAUGUAUUUAACUGAAUAAAAAGAUGUUAUUUUUCCAACUGCAUGCAAGAGCAACCUGGAGAGACUUUGACAGCUCAGGUCAGCAUAAUACCUGCAGCUGCCACUCGCCUUUCCUAUAUCU